AGCCGCCCGUACCCCAAACCGACACUGGUGGUCAGGUAGAGAAUACCAAAGCGAUCGAGCGAAUCCUGGUCAAGGAACUCGGCAAAUUACUCCCGUGCCUUCGGUAUAAGGGAGACCCCUGCGGGUGAACCAGCUAGCCUGGGGAGCGUGCGGGGGUGGCACAGACCAGGGGGUAGCGACUGUUUACCAAAAACACAGGAGCGUGCGAAGGCGCAAGCCGCUGUAUACGCUCUGACGCCUGCCCGGUGCCGGAAGGUUAAGAGGAUCCGUCAGCCUUCGGGUGAAGCGGUGAAUUCAAGCCCCGGUAAACGGCGGUGGUAACUAUAACCAUCCUAAGGUAGCGAAAUUCCUUGUCGGGUAAGUUCCGACCUGCACGAAUGGCGUAACGACUUCCCCACUGUCUCGACCAGGAGCUCGGCGAAAUUGCAGUACGAGUAAAGAUGCUCGUUAAGCGCAGAAGGACGAAAAGACCCCGGGACCUUUACUAUACCUUGGUAUUGGCAUUCGGUGUGGAUUGUGUAGCAUAGGCGGGAGGCCGAGAGGCGCGGUCGCCAGAUCGCGCGGAGCCGUAAGGUGAAAUACCGCUCUGUUCGCAUUGGAUGUCUAACCUCGAACAGUCAUCCUGUUCAGGGACAGUGCCUGGCGGGUAGUUUAACUGGGGCGGUUGCCUCCCAAAGAGUAACGGAGGCGCCCAAAGGUCCGCUCAGCCCGGUUGGCAAUCGGGUGGCGAGUGCAAGUGCACAAGCGGGCUUGACUGCGAGGACGACGGUCCGAGCAGGGACGAAAGUCGGGACUAGUGAUCCGGUGCCGGUGUACGGACGCGGCAUCGCUCAACGGAUAAAAGGUACCCCGGGGAUAACAGGCUGAUCAUUCCCAAGAGUCCAUAUCGACGGGAUGGUUUGGCACCUCGAUGUCGGCUCGUCGCAUCCUGGGGCUGGAGCAGGUCCCAAGGGUUCGGCUGUUCGCCGAUUAAAGCGGCACGCGAGCUGGGUUCAGAACGUCGUGAGACAGUUUGGUCUCUAUCCUCUGCGCUCGUCGGAACCUUGAGGAGGCCUGCCCAUAGUACGAGAGGACCUGGGUGGACGAACCUCUGGUAUGCCAGUCGUCACGCCAGUGGCGCGGCUGGUUGGCUACGUUCGGAAGGGAUAACCGCUGAAAGCAUCUAAGCGGGAAGCCUGCUCCAAGAUAAGGGUUCCAUGCGCCUUCGGGCGCUGCAGUCCCCAUGCAGAACACGUGGUUGAUAGGCCGGACGUGGAAGCCCCGCGAGGGGUGGAGCUGACCGGUACUAACGGACGAGGGGCAAUCUAC
rnacentral:rRNA from 1 species